UCUCCUGGGCUACCUAAGAAGUACUGAAAAUGCCAUCAAUGAGACAGCUUGCAGGCAACAAAAUGACAGUGAUGCCCAAUGGGUUGAAGCAAAUCUGGGUCCAUUCGUCCAAUAUACAGCAUACUCUGACCUCAAAGACUUCAACAUCUCGACGCUGGAAGUUCUGGACCUUCUUUCACCAUCGCAGAAGGCUGAUCUGAUCCUAGAUCCAAACAGUGGUGCCUUAAACGAUGCACAUGUUGUAAGGGAGGUGUUGACGAGCUUGACGGAGACCAGUGAUUUUGAGCAGCUCAAAGAA